rnacentral:lncRNA from 1 species
UGCAAGCCCAUUUCUUAGCUGGAUGGGUGAAGUGUUCCCUCAGUUCACAUAGACCAGGCUUCCUCUUUAGAGGCAUAAGCUGUAAAACAGGAGAGUCUGUUUUAAGAGGAUCUGUUUGAAGUUUAAUGUAACUGAAGUCCAUGCACCUGAAGCCAUUAAUUGAUAUAAGUGAAGUAAGUCUUUGGGUUUCCGGUAGCUCUGACUCAGAUUCUGCUUGCCUCUUCUCCAUGAGAUUACCAAGGCAUCAGGGCAGAGACUCCCUGAGGAUGAGUGGAUCUGGUUCAGAACAUCUGUGAACACAGAGGGAGUGGAAACUUCACUUUCAACAUCAUCAGCCAACUUCCCUCCCAUUACAAUUCUAUCUCAAGAUCAAGGUCAUGCAACAAAACCAGCAGGUGUCAAGACAUUUUAAGAUGUUGUCAAUUUGCCAAGGAAAUGAAAGAUUGUUGUGAAUAUGGCAAGAUGUGAAAACAAUGGAGGACUAGGUUUGGUAUUAGUGAGGCAGAUAUUUGUCAUUGGAGGAAAUACUACAAUUCCAUAUUUUCUUUGAGAGCAACUACAAAAUUCAUUUUGCAACAUAAGAAAGGAAGGUGCUCACAAGUGACAGAGCUGUGAUGUCUUGUUACUGAGCAAUGUGCAAAAUGCUG